GUCAAAGGACAGAAGGCGUAGGGUGGAUACCUAGGCACCUAGAGACGAAGAAGGGCGUGGUACCGACGAAAUGCUCCGGGGAGCUGGAAACAAGCGAUAAUCCGGAGAUUCCCGAAUAGGGCAACCUCUUGAACUACCUGCUGAAUUCAUAGGCAGGAAAGAGAUAACCCAGCGAACUGAAACAUCUUAGUAGCUGGAGGAGAAGAAAGCAAACGCGAUUCCCCAAGUAGCGGCGAGCGAAAAGGGAACAGCCUAAACCAGUUGUUAGACUGGGGUCGUGGGAAAACAAAAUUAAAAACAAAAAAAUUGUUUACGAAGCAGCUGAAUCCUGCACCAUAGAUGGUGAAAGUCCAGUAGUUAACGAAAAGCGUGUUGGUUGGAAAUUCUUUGUUUAUCCCGAGUAGCAUGGGACACGUGAAAUCCCGUGUGAAUCAGCGAGGACCACCUCGUAAGGCUAAAUACUCCUAGGUGACCGAUAGUGAAACAGUACCGUGAGGGAAAGGUGAAAAGAACCCCUGUAGGGGAGUGAAAAAGAACAUGAAACCCUACGCUGUCAAACAGUGGGAGGAUAACAAUAUCUGACCGCGUGCCUGUUGAAGAAUGAGCCGGCGACUUAGAAGAAGUGGCAAGGUUAAGGAGUAUUAUCUGGAGCCAGAGCGAAAGCAAGUCUGAAUAGGGCGUUAUUUCGUCACUUUUUCUAGACCCGAACCCGGGUGAUCUAACCAUGACCAGGAUGAAGCUUGGGUAACACCACGUGAAGGUCCGAACCGACCGAUGUUGAAAAAUCGGCGGAUGAGUUGUGGUUAGGGGUGAAAUACCAAUCGAACUCGGAGCUAGCUGGUUCUCCCCGAAAUGCGUUGAGGCGCAGCGGUUUAUGAGGCUGUCUAGGGGUAAAGCACUGUUUCGGUGCGGGCUGCGAAAGCGGUACCAAAUCGUGGCAAACUCUGAAUACUAGAUAUGCUGUUCAUAAGCCAGUGAGACGGUGGGGGAUAAGCUUCAUCGUCAAGAGGGAAACAGCCCAGAUCACUAGCUAAGGCCCCAAAAUGAUCGUUAAGUGGCAAAGGAGGUGAGAAUGCUGAAACAACCAGGAGGUUUGCUUAGAAGCAGCCACCCUUUAAAGAGUGCGUAAUAGCUCACUGGUGGAGCGUUCUUGCGCCGAAAAUGUCCGGGACUAAAUGAUCUGCCGAAGCUGUGGGAUACUUUUUUUCAAUUAUCGGUAGGUUUUACUACUGAUAACAAAGUAUCGGUAGGGGAGCGUUCUGCUGUAGGGUGAAGCAUUAAUGGAAGUUAGUGUGGACGAAGCGGAAGUGAGAAUGUCGGCUUGAGUAACGCAAACAUUGGUGAGAAUCCAAUGCCCCGUAAACCUAAGGAUUCCUCCACUAGGUUCGUCCAUGGAGGGUGAGUCAGGACCUAAGGUGAGGCCGAAAGGCGUAGCCGAUGGCAAACAGGUUAAUAUUCCUGUACUACUUUUUGUUGGUACCGAGGGACGGAGCAGGCAGGGGUAAGCUGGAUUUGGAUUUCAGUGGAAGCUUUCAAGACGUUGAGAGAUAGAAGAAAAACUAUUUUGAGUUAAGAAGUGAUACGUUUUCACUCUUUCUUUGGAGUGAGAAUUUACUAGCUGUCAUACUUCCAAGAAAAGCUCGCACUACACAUAAGACAAAAAGUACCUGUACCGAAAACCGACACAGGUAGGUUGGUAGAGAAUACCAAGGGGCGCGAGACAACUCUCUCUAAGGAACUCGGCAAAAUGACCCCGUAACUUCGGGAGAAGGGGUGCCAAGUAAAAACUUGGCCGCAGUGACCAGGCCCAGGCGACUGUUUACCAAAAACACAGGUCUCCGCAAAGUCGUAAGACAACAUAUGGGGGCUGACGCCUGCCCAGUGCCGGAAGGUUAAGGAAGUUGGUUAUUCUUCAAGAAAAAGCUGACGACCGAAGCCCCGGUGAACGGCGGCCGUAACUAUAACGGUCCUAAGGUAGCGAAAUUCCUUGUCAGGUAAGUUCUGACCCGCACGAAAGGCGUAACGAUCUGGGCGCUGUCUCGGAGAGAGACUCGGUGAAAUAGACAUGUCUGUGAAGAUGCGGACUACCUACACCUGGACAGAAAGACCCUAUGAAGCUUGACUGUAACCUGAAAUUGGGUUCGGGCUCUUCUUGCGCAGCCUAGGUGGGAGGCGUUGAAAGUUUCUUUUCGGGGAAACUGGAGCCAACAGUGAGAGACCACUCUGGAGGAGCUAGAAUUCUAAUGGUGUUCCUUGAAGCAGGACACUUGACAGUUUCAGGCGGGCAGUUUGACUGGGGCGGUCGCCUCCUAAAAGGUAACGGAGGCGUGCAAAGGUUCCCUCAGGCUGGACGGAAAUCAGCCGUAGAGUGUAAAGGCAGAAGGGAGCUUGACUGCAAGACCUACAAGUCGAGCAGGGGCGAAAGCCGGCCUUAGUGAUCCGACGGUUCCGUGUGGAAGGGCCGUCGCUCAACGGAUAAAAGUUACUCUAGGGAUAACAGGCUGAUCUUCCCCAAGAGUUCACAUCGACGGGAAGGUUUGGCACCUCGAUGUCGGCUCAUCGCAACCUGGGGCGGUAGUACGUCCCAAGGGUUGGGCUGUUCGCCCAUGAAAGCGGUACGUGAGCUGGGUUCAGAACGUCGUGAGACAGUUCGGUCCAUAUCCGGUGUAGGCGCUAGAGUAUUGAAGGCAUUCGUCCAUAGUACGAGAGGACCUAGACGAACACACCUCUGGUAUAUCAGUUAUUCUGCCAAGGGUAAACGCUGAGUAGCCAAGUGUGGAGGUGAUAACCGCUGAAAGCAUCUAAGUGGGAAGCCCAGCCUAAGAUGAGUACUCUCCAUAAGGCCACGGGAAGACAAUCCGUUUGAUAGGCAUCAGGUGUAAGCGUGGUAACACGUUCAGCCGAGAUGUACUAAUAGGCCGAUUGAAUUUGAC
rnacentral:rRNA from 1 species